GACGAACCACCCAAACGUUAUUCGGAAUCACUGGGCUUAAAGGGUACGUAGGCGGUGCGAUAAGUCGGGUGUGAAAUCCCUCGGCUCAACCGAGGAACUGCGCUCGAUACUGCCGUGCUAGAGGGAGACAGAGGGAAGCGGAACUGAUGGUGGAGCGGUGAAAUGCGUUGAUAUCAUCAGGAACACCCGUGGCGAAAGCGGCUUCCUGGGUCUCUUCUGACGCUGAUGUACGAAAGCUAGGGGAGCGAACGGG
rnacentral:rRNA from 1 species